rnacentral:hammerhead_ribozyme from 1 species
GUCCAGCUGACGAGUCCCAAAUAGGACGAAACAUGCGUCCUGAAU